UUUUUUCAUUUUUAUCCCUAAUUUUUCCCGAACCUUUUCUUUCUGUUUUUUUUUUUUGGUUCGCCGGGAUGCCCAUUUUUUGCCUGGACUCUUUUUUUCUUUUUUGUCCAGCGGGUCAAUUUAUGCGAAGUAUUUUUUGACUACAUCUGAGUUGACAGGAGACGGAAAAUCUUCACCAUCCAUAGUUGUAAGCAUCAAGGCUCCACCAG
rnacentral:lncRNA from 1 species